rfam:Steinernema glaseri strain NC unplaced genomic scaffold GLAS_5798, whole genome shotgun sequence.
CCAACGGCCCUCCUUAGGGCCACAAACUCUAACUAGAACUCAAAGU